AUUGAACGCUGGCGGCAGGCCUAACACAUGCAAGUCGAGCGAGCGGCGGACGGGUGAGUAAUGUCUGGGUAACUGCCUGACGUUUGGGGAUAACUACUGGAAACGGUAGCUAAUACCGCAUACCAUCAGAUGUGCUCAGAUGGGAUUAGCUAGUAGGUGGGGUGAUGGCUCACCUAGGCGACGAUCCCUAGUUGGUCUGAGAGGAUGACGAGCCACACUGGAACUGGGACACGGUCCAAGCUCCUACAGGAGGCAGCAGUGGGGAAGAGUGGACAAUGGGCGAAAGCCUGAUGCAGCCAUGCCGCGUGUGUGAAGGAGGCCUGCGGGUUGUAGAGCGCUUUCAGCGAGGAGGCGGUACUCGCAGAAGAAGCACCGGCUAACUCCGUGCCAGCAGCCGCGGUAAUUC
rnacentral:rRNA from 1 species